AGAUUGGUUAUAUUUUAUAUGUAAAUGUUAUCUUCAAUAAAUGUGCGUAUUUAGAAUACAGACGUUAGAUCAUUAGAAUAGGGUUCCUUUCCUAGAGGUUUUCGUCCCGCUUUAUUAACUAUUUGUAUUAAUAUGAAAUUUCAAGGUCGACAUGGCUAUUGACUUUGACUCACUGCUGUAAUAGAUUUCCAUAAACACAGUGUGUGCAAUGUGCUUUAUGAUUAUAUCGAUCACAGCACUUGAAAUGUUUUCAUCUCUAGCAAAGUAAAUGUGUUUUACCGAUAACGAAAACAAAACCGAAAUAGUAUAGCAGCAGUAUCGAAAGUAAUAUAGAACAUGUGUUGACGAUAUUUAAACUUACUUUGUUCAGUUUGUAGAUGAAGGGAAUAUAGGAGGAUCCCCCGUUCAAUCUCACACGCAUUAUACACGUAAGGUUUCAUGACUAAAAACACUGUGAAAGUCUUCAAAACCUCCGCGGAUGCAUAACAAAACAUGAUAUCAUAUUUUUGUAGAACUUCGCCUAUAGAGUUGAUAAACAGGGGGUGCUGAAUCUUCCGGUCCGUUGAACAGUCCGUCCGUUUACGAUGAUGGUGUCCGGGCAAACAUUAACCUAAAAUUAAGUCAUCUGUACAUUAAUGAUUCAACGACAAAAAGUCAUUUAAAGUUCGGUGAGUUACUGUAAUUACAACACAUACGUGGCCGACCAUAGAAGAUCGUGUCCACGGUCCUUCGCCUUGUACGGAAAAUGAAGUCACAGUAACUGUGGAUGAUACAAAAUCAAGAGAAACAGGAACUGCUGUUGUGAAUUCAAUUUCAUUUUUGACAUUUUUUAUUGACAAAUGAAGUCAAACAGGAGUAGGCAUAAUUGAUUGCCUAUAUAAGUCCUCUCCCAACAGCAAUAUCAGUGGUUAACAUAGUAUCUACAUAAUCCGACAUCUACAUUUUAAAACGUAAAGGGGAAGUAAUUCCUCCAAAGUUGAUAAUGUAAUAGUGAUGUGUGCAAAAUAGUUUCCCUUUAAUUAAAGGACUGGUAAUAAACAAGUUUACAUUAGAUAUAACUACAUUUUGUAAUUUUUUAUGAAGCGUUUGAAUCAUAUAUAUUUGAUAAAUUGUCUGUAUCUCCACAAAAGAUACAGGCCUUACAAGGUCGUGUAUAAAAGACAACUCCGCAGCUAAUCUUUUAAAUAGUAAUUUGAAACAAAAUCGGUGCAUUUUGCUUUUAGAGUAUAACAAUAAAGGUAUCAAUGAGUAUUUCGACAAAAUAGUUUAUGUUCAUUGUAAAUUUAGAGCACACGACUACUCCAAACGAGACAUGUCAGAAUUUCACAGAAAACACUGUCUGUUGACAACAUUUAAAGUACUAGUUGUAUAGGUAAUUAUGUGCAUGUUUAACUAUUGAUUCGUGUUUCAUAUUACUGGAAAAUAAACAAUUUACAUAUUUCUAAAUUGAUGUUUUGUACUUUAUCUAAAAAAAAAACCACAAAUAUCAUGGUUUUAUAGUCUCUGAUAUGGUGUACCACAUUUCUUUAAGGACAGGUGUACCAAGGCCAGUCUUUUUUAAACCAAGUGAUUCCAAUAUCAUUUUAAUUAAAUUUAAAACAUAAUUGGGAACACAAUUUAACAAAUUUGAAGAGUGUCAAGUUAAACAUCGAUAUAUUGUAUUCAUUUAAAUAUAUACAACUACAAAUAUUGGACAGUUGCGAUACAUUAAAUAACAUUGUAUGUUAUUAACUUGUCGAUGACGACGAUACCACGUUGUCAUGGGUGCAUGAUAUCUAUGAAUUAAAAGUCUAUGUCAUCGACAUUAUUCCUUAGACGUUUUUCAUUCCACGACAACAAGUCUACGCGUAGACGUUAAUCUCUACGCAAACGCAUUUGAAAAUGAUUGAAACCAAAGUCCUAUUAACUCUUUAUGUGUAAGUUCAGCUGAAAUAUAUAAUACCAAUAUCUUCAAAAAAUAUUUGAUAACCGUCUUAUAGUUUCGAGGUAAAGAAGAGAAAACAAAUAUGAAGUAAUGCCUAGAGAUUUAGUUCGGACGGAAAUAUGUUUUCCUCAAAGAACAAUAUUCUGAUAUACAUGUGUGUGCUGUUCUUGCUUCUAGUUAUGUAUUGUUAAUUCAUAUGCUGAAUAUUUGACAAAAUAUAGGGUAUGUUCAAUACAUUGAAAAGCCAUUGACAAAUAGAUUUUGUUUAACAUAGGACAUCACUGUACAGUUUUAGUCGAUUUAUCGAGGAAACCUACAGGAGAUAAAUGGUGUAUUACCAAAUAUAACAUAUUUGUUAUUCAAUAAUAUUUUGUACUGCCUUAUACUCUCUGACAAGA
rnacentral:lncRNA from 1 species